GACGAACGCUGGCGGCGUGCUUAACACAUGCAAGUCGAACGGAAAGGCUCCAGCUUGCUGGAGUACUCGAGUGGCGAACGGGUGAGUAACACGUGGGUAAUCUGCCCUGCACUCUGGGAUAAGCCUGGGAAACUGGGUCUAAUACUGGAUAUGACCUUUCUCCUUAUGGGGUUUGGUGGAAAGUUUUUCGGUGUAGGAUGAGCCCGCGGCCUAUCAGCUUGUUGGUGGGGUGAUGGCCUACCAAGGCGACGACGGGUAGCCGGCCUGAGAGGGUGAUCGGCCACAUUGGGACUGAGAUACGGCCCAGACUCCUACGGGAGGCGGCAGUGGGGAAUAUUGCACAAUGGGCGGAAGCCUGAUGCAGCGACGCCGCGUGAGGGAUGACGGCCUUCGGGUUGUAAACCUCUUUCAGCAGGGACGAAGCGUAAGUGACGGUACCUGCAGAAGAAGCACCGGCUAACUAUGUG
rnacentral:rRNA from 1 species